rnacentral:ncRNA from 1 species
AUUUCAUAAUUCAGAGCAGGUGCUGUUGUCCGAAAGGGCAGGCAUAAAAGGGAAGCCGGUGCAAGGCCGGCGCGGUCCCGCCACUGUAAGGGGGAUUCACCUGACAGAGUACCACUGUCUAGUGCUCAAUGAAACUCAGUUGAGUGCAGGAUGGGAAGGUGUGAGGUGAAGUUGAACCCGAGCCAGGAGACCUACCUGUUCUACCUGGAUCAA